rnacentral:rRNA from 1 species
GACGUAGGGCGCGAGCGUUGUCCGGAUUUAUUGGGCGUAAAGAGCUCGUAGGCGGCUUGUCGCGUCGAAUGUGAAAACCUGCAGCUUAACUGCAGGCUUGCAUUCGAUACUGGCAGGCUUGAAUCCGGGAGAGGGAUGCGGAAUUCCAGGUGUAGCGGUGAAAUGCGUAGAUAUCUGGAGGAACACCGGUGGCGAAGGCGGCAUCCUGGACCGGCAUUGACGCUGAGGCGCGAAGCCAGGGGAGCAAACGGG